UAGAGCACAGUGCUAAUAACGCUGCGGUCCAGGGUUCGAGCCCCUGUAUGACCA
rnacentral:tRNA from 1 species